rnacentral:lncRNA from 1 species
GCUACGGCGGAUAUGGCUGCAGAGCGGCCGGCUGGGAUCUUAGAUAGGAGGGGUGGAUUUGCAAGGCCUAGAAUAGCUGGGGAGUGGUUUCCCCGCGGAAUCGGCCUCCCUGCCGCUCCUGCUUUGUACUGUGACGCUCAGCCUGUGAUGACUGGUGUGGAAUCCGCUGAGCCACCUUGGCCUAAGGAGACUUUACCACUCUGAGAUUGUAAAUCUGUAAAAUAGAGAUGUAGGAUUAGCCCAUACGGUAGUUGUGGUAAAUACUGUGAGACAAUAAGGGGCCUGGGACACAGCAUUCAAAUGGGAAUAAUGAAGGUCAAGACUGUGAUUCCUGUAUCUUUGACGCUCUCGGUAUAAGCACCGUCGUGGGCACAGGGCAGUGGCCUUUAUGCAGGAGUUUAAGAGGGAAUGAAGGAAUGAAUGGGCAAACUCUGGAGUUCCCAAGUAUUCUCUCCAGGAGCUGUUUCCAUUCUUUUCGUUUCCAGCAGAUUCAAGAGGCAAUUGUUGGAAUGUAAAAAGAGCACGGGACUUGGAGUCAAAUACUUAAGUCUACCAUCAAGUAGUUGUUAAGAAUUAAACAACAAUUUUUGUGUACCCAGUUAAAUGUGGGCUGCUUAGGAAUGAUGACUGUGUCUUAAUGAUCUCUGUAUUCUUAGUGACAUGUAGAAUCAUUGUGCCUGACACAUAGUAUGUACUCAGGAAAGAAAUGGAAAAUGUGGUUUUAGCAUUGAAGGCCGGGAGAGAGGGUCUAACAGACUACAAGCCCUGCCAGGAGCAGAGUAAGGGAAACAGAGGAGAAAAGUGUUUUUAGUCUGUGCCUGAAUGUAUUUACAUCUGUUUGUAGCCCAAAAGCCAAAAGCAUACAUACGCUUGGCUUUUCUGUAGCUAUGUUUAUGGCUUUACAGCAGAUUUUAUGGAGCUGCAAUUACUUUGAUCAUGAGGGACUGAUGCUAGUGGAUUUACUUCACCAAAUGGAACUCACUUUGUGGCUUCUGAAGAAGGGACCUUUGUGGACUGUCAUGGAGUAGUUAAGAGUGCAGGCUCUGAUUUAGUGAUCAGAGUCUGCAUUGUCAGGAAUGGGACAAAGUGAAGUUAUGUGGCACUUGAUAGGAUGCCCUGAGAAGAUUGCAACAUCACCCCUGUGAUAUUCCUGCUGAAGAUCCAUAACCUGGAUGUAAUCAUGAGGAUAUAUCAGACAAACCCACGUAAAGAGACAUGCUGUAUACAAAACUGUAAUCUUAGAAAGUGCCAAGGUCAUGAAAAUCAAAGAUAGACCCUGGAACUGUUCCAAACUGGAGGGGACCAAAGAGGCAUGACAACUAAACACAACACAUGAUUCUGAACUGGAUCUUUUUGCUUGAAAGGAAGUUACAGGGACAGUUGGAAAAGUUUAAAUGGGGCCUACAAUGCCGUGGUAAUGAUGUGUCCGUGUUAAUUUCCUGAUUUUCAUGGUUGCCUGUUAAGUUACAUCAGAGGAUGUUCUUGUUUGCUGGAAAGUAAAUCAAUGUAUUUGGCAGGG